GACUGCUUGGCGCAAUGGUAGCGCGCGGUCCUCCUAUUAUCUGACGUUAUGUUAGCAUAAUGCGGAGUGAAAGACUGAGGUUGCGGGUUCGAGUCCCGUGGUGGUCG